rnacentral:rRNA from 1 species
GCAAGUCGAGGGGUAACAUGAGUACUUGUACUUGAUGACGACCGGCGCACGGGUGCGUAACGCGUAUGCAACCUACCCUUUACUGGAGGAUAGCCCGGGGAAACUCGGAUUAAUACUCCAUAGUACUAUAAGAUCUCAUGAUUUAAUAGUUAAAGAUUUAUUGGUAAAGGAUGGGCAUGCGUAUCAUUAGUUUGUUGGUGAGGUAACGGCUCACCAAGACUACGAUGAUUAGGGGGCCUGAGAGGGUGAUC